UAGGGAAUCUUCGGCAAUGGACGAAAGUCUGACCGAGCAACGCCGCAUGAGUGAAGAAGGUUUUCGGAUCGUAAAACUCUGUUGUUAGAGAAGAACAAGGACGUUAGUAACUGAACGUCCCCUGACGGUAUCUAACCAGAAAGCCACGGCUAACUACGUGCCAGCAGCCGCGGUAAUACGUAGGUGGCAAGCGUUGUCCGGAUUUAUUGGGCGUAAAGCGAGCGCAGGCGGUUUCUUAAGUCUGAUGUGAAAGCCCCCGGCUCAACCGGGGAGGGUCAUUGGAAACUGGGAGACUUGAGUGCAGAAGAGGAGAGUGGAAUUCCAUGUGUAGCGGUGAAAUGCGUAGAUAUAUGGAGGAACACCAGUGGCGAAGGCGGCUCUCUGGUCUGUAACUGACGCUGAGGCUCGAAAGCGUGGGGAGCAAACAGG
rnacentral:rRNA from 1 species